rnacentral:rRNA from 1 species
AUACGGAGGGUGCGAGCGUUACUCGGAAUCACUGGGCGUAAAGCGCGCGCAGGCGGGCUGAUAAGUUGGAUGUGAAAGCCUACGGCUCAACCGUAGAACUGCAUCCAAAACUGUCAGUCUAGAGUCUGGGAGGGGAAGAUGGAAUUAGUUGUGUAGGGGUAAAAUCCGUAGAGAUAACUAGGAAUACCAAAAGCGAAGGCGAUCUUCUGGAACAGUACUGACGCUGAGGCGCGAAAGCGUGGGGAGCAAACAGAAUUAGAUACCCUUGUAGUCC